CUUAGUAGUACAGUAGGAUGGGAGCUUCAGACAAGGUUUUUCAGAGAGACCCUCCAAUCACAAGAUGUUUCUGAAGAUGGUAACUCCAGACUCUCCUCUUUUGACUCAAUCUCUGAAGCCCUGGGUUAGUUACAGGUUCAAGUUUGCACUCUGAAAGGAACAGUUCCACUGCCAUGUGUUGGAUGUUGAUUCAUGGUCCUGCUGUCAGAGAAGCUAGCAGUGAAGUCUUCUGAACACUGGGAUGGUUGGAAUGCGCUCCAACGGCCAAAGAAGCGGUUGUUUUGUACAUUUUCAGAAUGUAUUUAUUUCCUUUACUGGGAUUAUCUUUUUCUAA